CCGAGUUUACAACUCCCAAACCCAAUGUGAACGUUACCAAACUGUUGCCUCGGCGGGGUCACGCCCCGGGUGCGUCGCAGCCCCGGAACCAGGCGCCCGCCGGAGGAACCAACCAAACUCUUUCUGUAGUCCCCUCGCGGACGUAUUUCUUACAGCUCUGAGCAAAAAUUCAAAAUGAAUCAAAACUUUCAACAACGGAUCUCUUGGUUCUGGCAUCGAUGAAGAACGCAGCGAAAUGCGAUAAGUAAUGUGAAUUGCAGAAUUCAGUGAAUCAUCGAAUCUUUGAACGCACAUUGCGCCCGCCAGUAUUCUGGCGGGCAUGCCUGUCCGAGCGUCAUUUCAACCCUCGAACCCCUCCGGGGGAUCGGCGUUGGGGAUCGGGACCCCUCACACGGGUGCCGGCCCCGAAAUACAGUGGCGGUCUCGCCGCAGCCUCUCCUGCGCAGUAGUUUGCACAACUCGCACCGGGAGCGCGGCGCGUCCACGUCCGUAAAACACCCAACUUUCUGAAAUGUUGACCUCGGAUCAGGUAGGAAUACCCGCUGAACUUAAGCAUACA
rnacentral:rRNA from 1 species